rnacentral:misc_RNA from 1 species
GAGAGAGAGAGAGAGAGAUUAGGUCAAGUUGCAACAUAUAAUAACCUAUUUUUCUUUUGAUCUAAUAUUAAUUGCAUGUUCUUAUUUCUUGUUUUGAAUAUGAUAUUCUAGUGCUGUUCUUAUUUUCCAGUGCUAUGUGGUUGAUAAACCCUUGUCGUACUGACUACCAAGAAUUAUUUCCAUAGAAAAAUCUGUUGCACCUAUGUAAAUUUCUUCUGUCAUUUUCUUUUCCAUUUUGCAAUUUCUUGUUGUUUACAUUUGAAAAGUUCUUUGUAGGAAUUAUGGUUGUCUUUGUAUGUCAACUUCAAUUAGACCUUUUCAGCAAUUUGUACCUUUGACUCUUUCCUUUUCUUGGUAUAAUAGCCAAAGUUGGUGGCAGUGUCGAAU